rnacentral:ncRNA from 1 species
UGUUGUUGCAAUAGUAAUCCUGCUCAGUACGAGGGGAACCGCAGGUUCAGACCCCUGGUGCGUGCGCUUGGCGGAGGAGCCACUGGCGCGAGGCUACCAUCUGCGGGCUUAUGACUGAACGCCUCUAAGUCAGAAUCCCGCCUAGACGUAGCGAUACCGCAGCGCCGCCGGCGCCUCGGUGGGCUCGCGAUAGCCGGCCGCUCGCCCCCCCGCGGGGCGGGCCCGUGCGCAGUGCCGCUCGUGGUCGGGACCGGAGGGGCGGACGGAUGCGGUGCCACCUCUCCCCCGUCGCGUACCGCAUGAUCGUGGGGCACCCGGCGCUAAAUCAUUCGUAGACGACCUGAUUCUGGGUCAGGGUUUCGUACGUAGCAGAGCAGCUCCCUCGCUGCGAUCUAUUGAGAAUCAGCCCUCGACACAAGCUUUU